UACGUAGGGGUCGAGCGUUGUCCGGAGUUACUGGGCGUAAAGCGUGUGCAGGCGGCGGCCUGCGCCUGGCGUGAAAGCCCCCGGCUCAACCGGGGAGGGUCGUCGGGGACGGGGCCGCUUGAGGGUAUCAGGGGCAGGUAGAAUUCCCGGUGUAGUGGUGAAAUGCGUAGAGAUCGGGAGGAAUACCCGUGGCGAAGGCGGCCUGCUGGGAUACACCUGACGCUGAGACA
rnacentral:rRNA from 1 species